rnacentral:rRNA from 1 species
GAGUAAAAUUCGGGGGGGGAUUAGUGGCGACGGGUGAGUAACACGUGGGCAAUCUGCCCUGCACUCUGGGACAAGCCCUGGAAACGGGGUCUAAUACCGGAUACUGAUCCUCGCAGGCAUCUGCGAGGUUCGAAAGCUCCGGCGGUGCAGGAUGAGCCCGCGGCCUAUCAGCUAGUUGGUGAGGUAACGGCUCACCAAGGCGACGACGGGUAGCCGGCCUGAGAGGGCGACCGGCCACACUGGGACUGAGACACGGCCCAGACUCCUACGGGAGGCAGCAGUGGGGAAUAUUGCACAAUGGGCGAAAGCCUGAUGCAGCGACGCCGCGUGAGGGAUGACGGCCUUCGGGUUGUAAACCUCUUUCAGCAGGGAAGAAGCGAAAGUGACGGUACCUGCAGAAGAAGCGCCGGCUAACUACGUGCCAGCAGCCGCGGUAAUACGUAGGGCGCAAGCGUUGUCCGGAAUUAUUGGGCGUAAAGAGCUCGUAGGCGGCUUGUCACGUCGGUUGUGAAAGCCCGGGGCUUAACCCCGGGUCUGCAGUCGAUACGGGCAGGCUAGAGUUCGGUAGGGGAGAUCGGAAUUCCUGGUGUAGCGGUGAAAUGCGCAGAUAUCAGGAGGAACACCGGUGGCGAAGGCGGAUCUCUGGGCCGAUACUGACGCUGAGGAGCGAAAGCGUGGGGAGCGAACAGGAUUAGAUACCCUGGUAGUCCACGCCGUAACGGUGGGCACUAGGUGUGGGCAACAUUCCACGUUGUCCGUGCCGCAGCUAACGCAUUAAGUGCCCCGCCUGGGGGAGUACGGCCGCAAAGGCUAAAACUCAAAGGAAUUUGACAGGGGCCCGCACAAGCGGGCGGGAGCAUGUGGGCUUUAAUUUCGACGCAACGCGAAGAACCUUUACCAAGCCUUGACAUACACCGGAAAAACCCCUUGGGAGGAACCAGGGGGGGGU